rnacentral:rRNA from 1 species
UACGAAGGGUGCAAGCGUUACUCGGAAUUACUGGGCGUAAAGCGUGCGUAGGUGGUGAGUUAAGUCUGUCGUGAAAGCCCCGGGCUCAACCUGGGAAUGGCGAUGGAUACUGGCUCGCUAGAGUGCGGUAGAGGAGAGUGGAAUUCCCGGUGUAGCAGUGAAAUGCGUAGAGAUCGGGAGGAACAUCAGUUGCGAAGGCGACUCUCUGGACCAGCACUGACACUGAGGCACGAAAGCGUGGGGAGCAAACAGG